rnacentral:rRNA from 1 species
UCAUAACACUCUACCUCCCUGAAUGCGCCUGAUUUUAUCUGCUCUCGGAAGCUAAGCAGAGUCGGGCCUUGUUAGUACUUGGAUGGAUGACCUGCCACCUGUUUUUAUAAA